rnacentral:rRNA from 1 species
GAUGAACGCUGACGGCGUGCCUAAUACAUGCAAGUCGAGCGAACGGACGAGAAGCUUGCUUCUCUGAUGUUAGCGGCGGACGGGUGAGUAACACGUGGAUAACCUACCUAUAAGACUGGGAUAACUUCGGGAAACCGGAGCUAAUACCGGAUAAUAUUUUGAACCGCAUGGUUCAAAAGUGAAAGACGGUCUUGCUGUCACUUAUAGAUGGAUCCGCGCCGCAUUAGCUAGUUGGUAAGGUAACGGCUUACCAAGGCAACGAUGCAUAGCCGACCUGAGAGGGUGAUCGGCCACACUGGAACUGAGACACGGUCCAGACUCCUACGGGAGGCAGCAGUAGGGAAUCUUCCGCAAUGGGCGAAAGCCUGACGGAGCAACGCCGCGUGAGUGAUGAAGGUCUUCGGAUCGUAAAACUCUGUUAUUAGGGAAGAACAUAUGUGUAAGUAACUGUGCACAUCUUGACGGUACCUAAUCAGAAAGCCACGGCUAACUACGUG